GAUGAACGCUGGCGGCGUGCUUAACACAUGCAAGUCGAACGGGAAACCUUUUAUUGAAGCUUCGGCAGAUUUAGAUUGUUUCUAGUGGCGGACGGGUGAGUAACGCGUGGGUAACCUGCCUUAUACAGGGGGAUAACAGUCAGAAAUGACUGCUAAUACCGCAUAAGCGCACAGAGCUGCAUGGCUCGGUGUGAAAAACUCCGGUGGUAUAAGAUGGACCCGCGUUGGAUUAGCUAGUUGGUGAGGUAACGGCCCACCAAGGCGACGAUCCAUAGCCGGCCUGAGAGGGUGAACGGCCACAUUGGGACUGAGACACGGCCCAGACUCCUACGGGAGGCAGCAGUGGGGAAUAUUGCACAAUGGGGGAAACCCUGAUGCAGCGACGCCGCGUGAAGGAAGAAGUAUCUCGGUAUGUAAACUUCUAUCAGCAGGGAAGAAAAUGACGGUACCUGACUAAGAAGCCCCGGCUAACUACGUGCCAGCAGCCGCGGUAAUACGUAGGGGGCAAGCGUUAUCCGGAUUUACUGGGUGUAAAGGGAGCGUAGACGGAUGGACAAGUCUGAUGUGAAAGGCUGGGGCUCAACCCCGGGACUGCAUUGGAAACUGCCCGUCUUGAGUGCCGGAGAGGUAAGCGGAAUUCCUAGUGUAGCGGUGAAAUGCGUAGAUAUUAGGAGGAACACCAGUGGCGAAGGCGGCUUACUGGA
rnacentral:rRNA from 1 species